rnacentral:tRNA from 1 species
CCUGAUAGCUCAGUUGGUAAAGAAUCUGCUUGCAAUGCAGGAGACCCAGGUUCGAUUCCUGGGUCAGGA